AGGAAUAUUGGUCAAUGGACGAGAGUCUGAACCAGCCAAGUAGCGUGAAGGAUGACUGCCCUAUGGGUUGUAAACUUCUUUUAUACGGGAAUAAAGUGAGGCACGUGUGCCUUUUUGUAUGUACCGUAUGAAUAAGGAUCGGCUAACUCCGUGCCAGCAGCCGCGGUAAUACGGAGGAUCCGAGCGUUAUCCGGAUUUAUUGGGUUUAAAGGGAGCGUAGGCGGACGCUUAAGUCAGUUGUGAAAGUUUGCGGCUCAACCGUAAAAUUGCAAUUGAUACUGGGUGUCUUGAGUACAGUAGAGGCAGGCGGAAUUCGUGGUGUAGCGGUGAAAUGCUUAGAUAUCACGAAGAACUCCGAUUGCGAAGGCAGCUUGCUGGACUGUAACUGACGCUGAUGCUCGAAAGUGUGGGUAUCAAACAGGAUUAGAUACCCUGGUAGUCCACACAGUAAACGAUGAAUACUCGCUGUUUGCGAUAUACAGUAAGCGGCCAAGCGAAAACGUUAAGUAUUCCACCUGGGGAGUACGCCGGCAACGGUGAAACUCAAAGGAAUUGACGGGGGCCCGCACAAGCGGAGGAACAUGUGGUUUAAUUCGAUGAUACGCGAGGAACCUUACCCGGGCUUGAAUUGCAACUGAAUGAUGUGGAGACAUGUCAGCCGCAAGGCAGUUGUGAAGGUGCUGCAUGGUUGUCGUCAGCUCGUGCCGUGAGGUGUCGGCUUAAGUGCCAUAACGAGCGCAACCCUUAUCGAUAGUUACCAUCAGGUUAUGCUGGGGACUCUGUCGAGACUGCCGUCGUAAGAUGUGAGGAAGGUGGGGAUGACGUCAAAUCAGCACGGCCCUUACGUCCGGGGCUACACACGUGUUACAAUGGGGGGUACAGAAGGCAGCUACACGGCGACGUGAUGCUAAUCCCUAAAGCCUCUCUCAGUUCGGAUUGGAGUCUGCAACCCGACUCCAUGAAGCUGGAUUCGCUAGUAAUCGCGCAUCAGCCACGGCGCGGUGAAUACGUUCCCG
rnacentral:rRNA from 1 species